rnacentral:rRNA from 1 species
UACGAAGGUGGCAAGCGUUGUUCGGAUUUACUGGGCGUACAGGGAGCGUAGGCGGUUGGAUAAGCCCUCCGUGAAAUCUCCAGGCUUAACCUGGAAAGUGCAGAGGGGACUGUUCAGCUAGAGGAUGGGAGAGGAGCGCGGAAUUCCCGGUGUAGCGGUGAAAUGCGUAGAGAUCGGGAGGAAGGCCGGUGGCGAAGGCGGCGCUCUGGAACAUUUCUGACGCUGAGGCUCGAAAAGCGUGGGGAGCAAACAG